AUGAAGACCAUACUCCUCCUCAUUCUCGCAUUCCCUUUCUUGGGCGCCGCCGGCGAGCGUUGCCGCGGCGUCCCGUCACUGCCAGUGGAGGCCGCCUGCCGAAAGGCGUGCGGCACGAAGCUCAUGCACGACAUGUGCAUGGACACGCUCCGCGGGGGAUUCGAUCCUAGCCCGUCCGUCCACAUCGAGGUCACCGAGUAUGCGCUCCUCGCCACGCACCGCGCCCUCGAGUCCUACGGCGCCACGGCUGCCGCCGCGGCCGAGCUGCUCUGCAGCGGGUCGCUCUCUGGCGACGAGAGGGCGGCCUACAACACAUGCUUGACGGAGUACUCCUACGCUGUGCGGUGCAUGGAGCACGUCGCCGGCGACAUGGUAGCGCGUUGCCGGUUCGCGGGGCUCGGGGAGGAGUACGUGCGCUGCGUGACGUACGUGGAGGGCUGUAGGGAUCGCUUGGUGCGGCUCAAGUCAUCGCCGCUCUACGCCAUGAAUCUUGUCGACCGGAACAAGGCCCUUCUGGCUUACUCCCUCGGUCAAUUGCUCGGUAGCAUAUGA
rnacentral:rRNA from 1 species